GGAAAGGCGAGCCUCCGCAGCAGCUUCCGCAGGGCGCGGGCGCGGCAGCUCCCCCUGUGGGAGCGGCGGAGGCGGUUGUACCGCGGGGGGCAGUUCCUCGCCAGGCUCGGACAGAGCCAAUGCCAGCCGGCUCCAAGACGGGACCCGCCCCUGGCCAAGGCCAAACCAAUCAGUGCCUCUGUGAUAACAUAUUUAAGAAGGAAAAAAGAGAGAACUUUUGCAGCUAGAGGAGUGAGAAGGUGUAAGAAACUCUGCAGACACCAAGAUCAGUGCAGAUGGAGGGGGAGGAGGUGCUCCAGGCGCCGGAGCAGAGAUCCCCCUGCAGCCCGUGGUGAAGACCAUGGUGAAGCAGGCUGUCCCCCUGCAGCCCAUGGAGGAAGGAUGAGGGGGUGUAGAGAUUCCACCUGCAGCCCGUGGAGGACCCCACGCCGGAGCAGGUGGAGGCACCUGAAGGAGGCUGUGGCCCAUGGGAAGCCCACGCUGGAGCAAGCUCCUGGCAGGGCCUGUGGAGCCGUGGAGAGAGGAGCCCACAUCAGAGCAGGUUUGCUGGCAGGACUUGUGACCCCGUGGGGGACCCACGCUGGAGCAGUCUGCUCCUGGAGGUCUGCACCCCAUGGAAGAGACCAUGCUGGAGCAGUUCGUGAAGGACUGUAGCCCGUGGGAGAGACUCCAUGCUGGAGCAGGGGAAGGAUGAGAGGAGUCCUCCCCCUGAGGAGGAAGAAGCGGCAGUAACAACGGGUGAUGAACUGACCGUAACCCCCAUUCCCCGUCCCCCUGUGCCGCUGAGGGGGGGAAGGUUUGAAGCCGGGAGUGAAGUUGAGCCUGGGAAGAUGGGAGGGGUGGGAGGAGGUGUUUUAAGAUUUGAUUUUAUUUCUCAUUCCUCUACUCUGUUUUUGCCUAGUAAUAAAUUAGAUUAAUUCCCUCUCUAAGUUCGGUCUGUUUUGCUCGUGAUGAUAAUUAGUGAGUGAUCUCUCCCUGCCCUUAUCUCGACCCACAAGCUUUUCUUUAUACCUUUUCUCCCCUGUCUAGUGAAGAAGGGGAGUGAUAGAGCGGCUCUGGUGGGCACCUGGCCCCCAGCCAGGGUCAACCCACCACAAUUAUAUAUUGUUUUCCUUCACUUUCUCUUUUAACCCAAUUAGUCUUUUAAUUAAAACUGCCCACUUUCAAAAUUGUGGAGUUAUCUAAUAAACUGUUUUUUACCAAUCUCCUUUUCAUUCUUUUUACUAUUUUUGGCAAUGUUUUUCUUCAUGUGCAUUUUUGCUCUUCUUCAUUUAGAAGAAAUUAGUGUUAAGUAUCAUAUAACAGAUGUCUGUUAUAUGUCCAAUUUAAACAAGUAUUUGGUUCACGAUCAGCUUGUCACAAUGAGGUCUGAAAUGUAGGAAGAAGAACUUCUGUUACAUUCUUACAGGGAUGAAUAAGUUCCUAGUACUUUGCCUCAUUUUUCUAAAGAAUGUUUUGAUACAGUCUCUCUGACAUGUAUGCAUUUGCUUUCUGUAGCUAUCUUUACAUGUAACUUGAGAGCCCCAAUGGCAUCAUUCUAUCGUGUCAGUAUAAUAAAACUAUCCUCUUUAUAUUGACAAAGCUUCUGUUGUCUGACUAAAGACUGAGGAAUUUGACAUGGGCCUCUUGGAGCGAGUCCAGAGGAGGGCCAUGAAGAUAAUCCGAGGGCUGGAGCACCUCUCCGAUGAAGACAGGCUGAGAGAGUUGGGGUUGUUCAGCCCAGAGAAGAGAAGGCUCCAGGGAAACCUCAUAGCAGCCUUCAGGUAGCUGUGGAGCUUCCUUGCACAGGAAAGGUCCUUCAAGAGAAAUUGUUCCUGGUGUGUGGGGACAAGUGCACAGUUUUCCAGUUCAAGAAGCCUUUGUGCCAGUACAGAGCUUGCCCAUGUUGCACUGUCACGAGGGGAGAAGGAGAUGGGUGCUCAGAGUGGGGAUAUUGCUAACUUGCCUCCAAAGAAUGAGGACUCCUCUGCUAUUCCAGCAGCCUGUUGCUGUGCCCUAGCAUCAUGUCAUGACUAUCAGCAUAACUGAGCAGGAUUUAGGCUCCAUGCUUUUGUGUCACUUGCUCUCAGUCUUCCACGGGGAGUCCUGUAGACAGUGUGCAUGCAGGGCUGUAUCCCAGGCAGCUGCUGGGCCAUUUGAAGCGAGGUCAGGAUGCAAAAGCAGACUCUGGCAGCAGAGGUGAUUGAGGAGACCUGUUGUUUUUAAAGCCAGACUUCCCUUUUUCCUUCCUGGCUUGUCUGGUGCAGUAGAAGCAUGUGGGAUGGGGUAGUCUGCAUUUUCUUGUCCCAGGUGUGCAGCUGCUUCCUUUGCAGUUUCUCCAAAGCUUCCCUGCUGCAAACACGGGCGGAUCAAGGCUGUGGGAGUGAUCUGGGCUAGCACUAAGAGUGCAGUUGUGAACUAGAACUGGGGGCUGUGUGUGUGGAGAUGUUUGUGCAUAUGUCUGUGCGUUUGUUUCUUUUAAGACCGGGUCAGUAACUUGUCACAUUUGACCACUAUGAUUUUGAUCUGAUAUUGGGAGCCAAAAGGCAACUUUUGCUCUUGGCAAUCCAUAGCCUAACAUGCAACCAUAUACAAAAGAGUAUAAUCAAAUAUACGAGGGAUGGGAGUAUUUUAUACACACCCACGCAUAUUUUUCGAUACAUAUAUGUAAAAUACAUAUAGUUAAUUGAGACAGCUCCAUCUGGAUUCCUACAGGGCAUUCUGACCCUGUAGACACAGAACAUGUAGCUAAGCCGGGUAAUUAGGGAAGACAGCAAAAAUGAAUAGGAAUCUAAACCUUAUUACAGACAUAGAGGAUAAGAGUUAAACUUAUCUGGGAUAAGUGGGGCCAAAAGGGAAAGGUCAUGAUUGGCUGUACAUGAUUAAAGUACAAAAAUAAUAUUAAGAAAAAAACUAUUAGUAAGGAUGAGAUGGAUCAUCAAAAUGAAGGAUGCUCAGAUGUAGAGAAGCAAUAAACGAAUGUUACUCCAGCUGUCUGAGAGUUUCAUGUGUGCUACAGAGAGAAUAAGUGAUGGCUUGGAAUUCUUAGUGCUAAAUGGGACCUAGAGCAGAUCCUACUCCCAUCUUCAGGCUUUGUUUUCCCAGAAAUGAGGAUACAUGUGAACAAUUAUUCAGUACAAGAUUGUUUGAAUACGCUAUUAUUUUCCAAUCUGUUUUGGACUGCAAGACCAUAAUACUUUGGAAGGGCAGGUGUGAUAACUGUACAUACUAUCCUGUUUGGAGGAGGAUUUGAAGAGAUUGGAGAUUGCUUAUGUUUCAGUGGUAGCCUGUGGCUAGGUUAUCUUUAAGUGACUAUAGAAUCAUAGCUUCAGAGUCUUCAGGUGUUCUAGACGUAUUUUUUUCAGCACCAUUCACAGAAAUAAUCUUUUUCAUAAGGGAAGUGGCCAAUAAAUACCUGCAAAAGAACAGAUAACAGUAGUUUAAAUAAAGGACUGAAUUUUUGAGCUGUUGUUUCCCCUGGGAAGCCUGGUGAUUAGGCAUUAAGGCCUAAUUUUUUUUUUUACGGAAUCGAUCACUCAAAUUUUGAAACUAGAGAAAAAUUGGUACCUCUGCAAUGCUCUUUGUAAGGCUAUCUGACUAGUGCCUGUUCAACAUUAAAAAAAAAAAAAAAGACGACAAGAAACAGGAGAGGCAAUAAAUUACACACAUAGAUACACAAACCCUAACAAACAACAGUCAGCAGAGACAGUAACAAAGACCAGAAAUCUUAAAUCAGGGCAGCUAUUACAGGAACCACUGAAAUAUAACCUUGAAAAGGUUUAGCCAGAUUCUUUGAUGAUGUGUAAGAAUCAUAUUUUAUGUUUCUUAUCAGAAUGGGUCUUAUAGGAAAGAGUAAGCUUAUGAGAUUUUUUUUUUGAGGGAGGAUUGUGGGACUGUGCAAAAAAUACUACAGGAUUUUUAGGGGGAACAAAACCAGUUCUGCACUGCACAAUCUACAUAUAAACAUUAUUUUAAAUGGCUUCUCAUUGUAUAACUGCAAAGUGGCCACAUGAGAAGUAAUGCAAAUAAAUGUUAAUAAUUAGAACUAUAACUGUUUCUUAUAAACCCUUUUGUUUUGUAAUUUAUGUCUGGCAUUCACCUAUGUAGUUACUUCUGUAACCGUUGAACUGUACAUGUAACCAUUAUAAUCAACAAAAGCAGCUUUCACUUAGUCUCCCUUUCAUACAGACCCUUUAAAAAUUUUAUGUAAAUAUACCUUUUCAUGGACUCACAGAAUCAU